UACGUAGGGGGCAAGCGUUGUCCGGAGUUAUUGGGCGUAAAGAGCGUGUAGGCGGCUUGGUAGGUCCGCUGUGAAAACUCGAGGCUCAACCUCGAGAUGUCGGCGGAAACCACUUGGCUAGAGUCCGGAAGAGGAGAGUGGAAUUCCUGGUGUAGCGGUGAAAUGCGCAGAUAUCAGGAAGAACACCUAUGGCGAAGGCAGCUCUCUGGGACGGUACUGACGCUGAGACGCGAAAGCGUGGGGAGCGAACAGG
rnacentral:rRNA from 1 species